UGCUGCAUGGCUGUCGUCAGCUCGUGUCGUGAGAUGUUGGGUUAAGUCCCGCAACGAGCGCAACCUUACCAUUAAUUGCCAUCAUUGAGUUGGGCACUUUAAUGGGACUGCCGGUGACAAACCGGAGGAAGGUGGGGAUGACGUCAAGUCCUCAUGGCCCUUAUGGGUAGGGCUUCACACGUCAUACAAUGGUCGGUACAGAGGGUUGCCAAGCCGCGAGGUGGAGCUAAUCUCAUAAAGCCGAUCGUAGUCCGGAUCGCAGUCUGCAACUCGACUGCGUGAAGUCGGAAUCGCUAGUAAUCGUGGAUCAGCAUGCCACGGUGAAUACGUUCCCGGGUCUU
rnacentral:rRNA from 1 species